CCUACGGGUGGCUGCAGUGGGGAAUAUUGGGCAAUGGGCGCAAGCCUGACCCAGCAACGCCGCGUGAAGGAAGAAGGCUUUCGGGUUGUAAACUUCUUUUCUCAGGGACGAAGAAAGUGACGGUACCUGAGGAAUAAGCCACGGCUAACUACGUGCCAGCAGCCGCGGUAAUACGAAGGUGACAAGCGUUAUGCGGAUUUACUGGGUGUAAAGGGCGUGGAGGCGGGACUGCAAGUCAGAUGUGAAAACCACGGGCUCAACCUGUGGCCUGCAUUUGAAACGGUAGUUCUUGAGUACUGGAGAGGCAGCCGGAAUUCCUAGUGUAGCGGUGAAAUGCGUAGAUAUUAGGAGGACCCCCAGUGGCGACGGCGGUCUGCUGGACAGCAACUGACGCUGAGGCGCGAAAGCGUGGGGAGCAAACAGGAUUAGAUACCCCUGUAGUC
rnacentral:rRNA from 1 species